rnacentral:tRNA from 1 species
GUCAUGAUAGCUCGGUUGGUAGAGCAGAGGACUGAAUCCUUGUGUCACCAGUUCAAAUAUGGUUCCUGGCA